rnacentral:lncRNA from 1 species
AAAACCCCUCAUGUGGUUUCUAAUUUCUCACUUUAGUACCCUCUGAUUUAAAAUAUAUCAAUUUAUCUCCAUGUGGUUUUGUUUUUAUUUUUUCUAUAGCUUUUCUCUUAAUAUUUUAUUAAAUUAUCUACAAAAAACAUCAAAUAUCCAUCUAGAUUUACCGAAUAUUUACUUUAGUAACCUUUACUUUUAAUUGUGUCACUGAUUUAAGAAAAAAUUAUAAAAUUGAUAAAAAAAAAUAAUAAUAAAAUCACAGAGAAGCAAAUUGAUACAUUUUAAAUUAUAAAAUAUUAAAGUGAGAAAAUACGAAAUCAUGUGAAAGAUUUUGAAGUAUUUUUUAAAAAUAAUAGAGGGAAAAGGAAAGGAAAGGAGAGGAAAGGAAAAGAAAAGAAAAGAAACGAAAAGAGAGGCGGUGGUGGUU